AAGAAGAGGAUAGGCCUAAAAAUCCCUAGAGUAACAAAAGAAAAAAGCUGGCACAACAGCUUGAAGAGAGGAGAACAACAAACUUCAUCUUCCUCCAUUCCCUAUCAUGUAAGAAGCUCAUUAAGAGCUCAAUGAAAAGCAGUUGAAAUAACGUUUAAAAAUGCAGCCAAAAAUCAGUCCCAAAGAGCUCCGAAACAGCUAAAAAUUUGCCCGAAAUUACGCCCGAAAUAGCUCCAAACACGAGCUGAAAAACACCUCCAAACCCAGCUUGAAAUCAGCCCCUGAACCCACGAAAAUCGGCUGGAAAAAUCACCAAAAUCAACUCUGAAAAAUGCUGUCGAAACCCAAUUGAAACAGCCUCUAAAACACCUGAAACCACCAUGAAAACACCCCAAAAAUACAGCAUAAAUCAGUCAUGAAACCAAUCACGAUUUGCCUUCCAAAGGCACACUUGCAUCGUCCAUCCUCCAUUUCUUUGAGUCGAGUUUCGUGCCGGUGAUUCAGUUCGAUGUCGUUGGUCCUGUUCGCAGUCUUGCUUUCAUUUUGAGUAUUCAAUAUUCGCUAUUGUACUAGUUGGUUUGAUUGUGACCUUUCAUCAAUAAAAUGAUGAAGAAGCUUCAUUGAGGUUAAUCUUAUUUCCUUUAGCAAUUUAUUUUAAGGAGACAUUUUAUGCCUAUUUGUUUUGCUUUCCUGCCUUCUUAUUUAAUUUUAGAUAAGUUUAGUUAGUACCAAUAUUUUGCUUCUUGUUUCUAUUUGUAUUGUUUUACCACUUUCUCAUUUGUUUUGGGUAGCUUAGCUGGUAGUGUUUUGCUUCUUAUUUAAUUUUGUUUGUGGUCAUGUGUUAGAAAUUUAGUCUUGUUGUUAUAUUACAAUUGAAGAAAAUUUCUAAAAUUUGAUGAAUACCAUAAGCUUACAAGGUUAAUAAUAGGUUGUUUUAUAAUCUGGGCUAUUAGAUGAGACAACUAGGCCGUUUUGGGUUUCAGAUUGAUUUGUUUAGGUUACUGGUUGAUUUUUAAACUUUUGUUGCUAAUAUUUUCAUGUUGGUUAGUUUACUGCCAAGAACUUCAAAAAUAUAAGUUCCAUUUUUUGGUCCGAUAAGUUUAAACUAUUUGAACCAUGGUAGUGAUAUAACAUUUAGACCAAAUAGAUGAAUUCUUCCAGGCCCUAAGAACUAAUUUGAAGCUAGCCAUCUGUCCAUAAUAAAUCUAAUUUAUUUCUUUCACAAUAAGUUCCAUAACUUAUGCAUAACAAUAAUUUCAAGUUAGGAAGAAUAAACACCGCUAGUUUCUUUAAGCACGAUUAACAAUAAGUCAUCGUGACCAUGGGUACGGUUCCCGUGGCAUGGUCACGAUACGUAAAUCACAUUUGGGUGUGCAUUUUAUGUGACCCGACCAUAACUUCGAACAUUAAUUAAUAUAAACAUGUUGUAAAUUGUGGGUGCAUUUUAUGUGAUGUAAUUCACAAUAUGUACAAAAACAAGAAGUGCACGAUAUCGUGACUCGUUUAAAUAAAUUCCAUAAAUCCUAAAAAGCGGUUAUAAAGCUAAAAAUGCACAAUAGGUUUAAAACAUGUAAUAAAUCAGAUAAUUGGGACAAUUAUUAAUAGUUGAGCGACCGUGCUAAAACCAUGGAACUCGAGAAUGCUUAAUACCUUCUCUCAGGUUAACAAAAUUCCUUACCCGAUCUUCUGUGUUCGCAGACCAAAAAUAGAGUCAAUUUUCCUCGAUUUGGGAUUUUAAAAUAAACCGGUGACUUGGGACACCAUAAAUUAUUCCAAGUGGCGACUUUGAUUAAAUAAAUAAUCCCAUUUCGAAUAAUGUUACUUAAAUUGGAAAACUCCCUUAUAUCCCUUUCGAGUGUAAAAAGGAGGUGUGACAAAGGGCUUUGAUAAAUUCAACCCUCGAAUAAUUUAAAGUCUAAUUCGAUAAACAUCAGCCUUCGGAAAAACUUCAAGAUGUAUUCGAUUAUUAUUAUACAAACAAGUUAUUAAUAAGGUUCCGAUACCUCGAACCCUCAAAAAAUUCAACGGGUACAAAAAACAGAUGCUAAUGCAUACAAAGUCUUUACUAAGUCUUUUAGCCGAAAAGAGGAAAAAAUUAUAGACAUUUUAGAGGCCGAAACGGCACAACUUAAAGAGCCUAAGGGCCGAUGUCUAGGAGCCUAAGGGACAACUUAAAGAACCUAAGGGCCGAUGUAUAAGAACCUAAGGGCCAACUUAAAAGGCUUAAGGGCCAAAACAUAUAGAGGUCGAGACCUCAUUCGCACUCGACUCGGACUCGAGAAUUCCGACACCCCGAGCUCAUAUCAAAUCAAUUUAAACUUUGCUCGAGGAGUGACAAAACCUUAUGGGUAUUAUGUUGAUUAGUGAAAAGCGUAAGGAUCCAUUAUAUUCCGAGUUCAAACAAAUACUCGGAUUGAUCGUUUAAGUUAUACAAUAAAAUUUCUCGCAGAUAAAGACAAAACAAAAUUUAACACAAACUGGAGAUAAAGCAAAAAGGGUUCCUUAUAUUCACAAAAGUUGAUUUACAAGGUAAAUUUACAACGCCUGUCACACCUCCUUUUUCCUACCCCGAAAGGGGUAUAGAGAGGUUUUUCCAAUUUAAGUGACAAUCGAAACGGAAUCAUUUUUAUUAAAUUCAGAGUCGCCACUUGGGAUAAUUUAUGGUGUCCCAAAUCACCGGUUUAAAUCCCUAAUCAAGGAAAAGAUUGACUCUGUUAUACAGUCUGCGAAUACAGAAAUCCGGGUAAGGAAUUCUGUUAACCCGGGAGAAGGUGUUAGGCACUCCCAAGUUCUGUGGUUUUAGCACGGUCGCUUUGAUCAUACCUGGCUUAUUAAGUUAUUUUAGUUACUGAUUUUAGAACCUAUAUGCAUUUAACUUUUACCGCUUUUUAAUUAAGAGAGUAUUAUCUUAAAAUGGGUCACGCGUACGUGUACCCAUUUGUUUGGCGUGUCCAAAAACUGUGUCACGCGAACGUGUCCACAAUUAAUAACACUUAUUAUUAUUAUUAAGGAAGUUUGGCCGAAGUUGCGCGAACGCAUACUCUGGUGUUAUUUUUAGAAAUCACAAUCAUGUCACGGGGACGUGUCCACAAUCGUAAUGGUAUAUUAAACGUGCUUAAAGCAAACCACGAUCGUUGGUUAUUUGUUAUAUCUAAAUCGGGAAAUUAAUACAAGGGCCAUGCAAUUGUCAUUUUUGUUUGGCACAGCGCACCUCGAAUCUAAUUUACAAAGGGAAUUUAAACUAAAUUUCGAGGGUCCAUGAACUAUAUGUGUUGCCUAAUAUGGCGCGCCUCCCUUAACUUAAGAAAUUUAAUUAUUUGAACACUUAAGGAGUUAGAAUUCUACUACUGCCAAAUUGAUUAGGAAUGACGAAGGGCUGAAGGUUUAAAGGCAGUUUGGGCUGGGCAUGAGGCCCAAUAACCUGCGAGGUGCAAAGCUGUCCCGUACUGGUAAUUCUUAGAGCCAAAUCACACUGGGCCCAAAUGAGAGCCCAAAUUGGGGAGCAAGCCGCUUCAGCAGAUCAUGGGAUCCCAUUUCGAAUCCAACCAUAGCACAAAAUAUCAGUCAAUUGAUUUCAAAUUCACAGAUCAAGCCAUUUUAAGAAAUCCAAUAAUUAACGAUUGAGUACCACAAAUGAACUAUUCUUGACACUAAACAUUAUUGUUGUUCAAAUCACAUGCCAUCAUUAAUUGAAAAAGCAAAAUGAGAUUAAAUUAACAAUUAUCUCGGAGCCUUAACUAAUUAACACAAACUGCCUAAUUAAACUUCUUCUUCUAUCUUUAGCACUUACUAGCCAAGCCUGCUUAUCAAUGGGUGAAUGAAAGAAUUACUGGGCCUGAGUCACAGGCUCAAAUGGAAACAACAAGCCACUUUUCUGCAAAGGAGUCCACACUCCCAGCUUAAAGGUCUCGGAAACUUUAGAAAGAGCUAAGCUGAAAACUUCUGACCCAGCAUCGAGUCUAGACUAAUACGAAACAAUUACAGUUUACCAGCAAAUAUAUCUUAGCAAACAACAUCAUUGUUCAAUAACUAGUACGUCCAAAUUUAAGGAACAAAGAAACAAUGAGAAUCAACAGUAUUAACAGCAGAAAUCAGCACCAGCAAUACAUCAAUAAACCAAUUUCAAACCCCAACAAGUGAUGUGCAACAAUCAAAACUUAGCUUCAAUCGAAAGUGACUCAAACUUCAAACCAAACUUCUACAACCCAAGUUCAAUCCAUUCCAACCCCAAAUGAUAAAUCAGUGUUUUUCAGAAAUUAAAGAAAAGAAUCGGAAAUCACUGAAGCAAUUUCAAUGGAACAGUAAAAACAGUUGUUUGUAUUUUUCUCAAUUUUUCUCUCUCCAUUCUCUGCCUUGAAAGGUAGGAAAACAUGUCUUUAUAGGCAAGGAAGUAGGGCAGCCUAGAAAAGUUCAGCUUUGCAAUUAGGCCCUUUUUCAAUUUUUGUUUUUGUCUAGAUAGCCUUAGUUAAACAUUUGAAAAUCAACUUAAACCCCCCACCCAGCUUCCUAGAAGCUUCUCAAUUCAGUUAUACCAAGAUUCCCAUAAGAAGAUUACCCAACUUACCCCUCAAGCCCCUGAAUAUUACUCUUAAAACCAAAUACGGGUCAAGUUGACCUAGUAGCUUGAACCAAACCACACGAUUUCUAUCAAGACCUGGGCCAAUCCCCUUCCUUAGGCCCAGGUCUAACUCUGCAAUUCAUUGGAAAUGAGAAAGAAAAAGAGACAAUUCGAACUCCUGAACCAACAACUCAACACGGCCCAAAAAUUAAAACAAAGAAAUUAGACACACACUAGUUUAACAAAUUUGAACAGAACAAAGAAGCUAAUAAUUGAUGUUGAUUCCACAAAAACAAAACAAACCACAAGCAGCUAUGAUUUGAAAACUAAGGAAAGAGAGGGAAAAAUAAAAGAAACUAAGAGAGGAAAUGACUGAGAAAUUGGACUUACUAAAGAGAAUCUGAGUUAGAUUACCCUUUCCACAGAAUUCCCCAUACUCUGCAGCCGAAAUAGACUUCAGUCACAUGUUCUCAACUGAAAACAACACGACAGAAGUCCAUCUUAACCUCAAAGGACUCGAAACCUUGAUAACCAUCUUUUUCUUUGAUUUAGGGUUGAGCUUUGAUCUGAAAUUCGGGAAAGUCCGGGGACAUUCGAGGGAAAUUGGUUUGGGAUUUGGAAACCGGAGGGUGUGAUGGUUGUUUGGUGUUAAUUUGGGUGGGAUUGGAGUAGGCGCCGCCGGGCUCGAGGUGGGGAAAAGAGGGGCGGCGGAUUAGGGUUGUGGGCGGUCUCUGAAGAGACGAGGGUGAGAGAGGGACGAUGAAAGGUGGGGUAGGGGUUCAAACAGUUAUAUACGGGGGAGGGGUUAGUUCUGAUUCGUUGGAUCUUGUUGAUCCAACGGUGGGGAUGGGAAGGCUUAAGACGGCGUCGUUUGGUUUGCUCGUGGGGGCGGACCGGGUUUGGGGACUGAACUUGGGCAAAUGGGUGGGAAAUAUUUCGGCCUUGGCAUUGGACUGGCCCAAUUCCGAGUCUCUAAGUCCAAUUCCUCCAUUUCCUAUUAAUAUUAUUAAUUCCCUUUCUUUUCUCUUUUCUUUCUUUCAUUUUUUAAAUUCCUUUUGUUAUAUUUUUCUCUUUUUUUUCAUAAUUAAAUUAAUUCCUAAAUUAAUCCCUAGAACCUAAUUAACUUAAACGAAAACACUAAUUAAACCUAAAUGAUAAUUAACACAAUUAAUUAAAAAUAAAUUAAAAGGAAAACUACUCAAAAUAAAAGUUAAGAUUAAAAGUGCAAAUUCAAUUGUUUUUUUGUGAUUUUCCCUUUUUUAAUAAAAUAACUUAAUUACUUAAUUAAUCCUAACAUGUUAAAUUAAAUCCUAAAUACAAAUUCACUUAUAUAUUUUGUAUUUUUUAUUAAUUAAAAUGCACAGACAAAAUGCAAAUAAUUAGCAGAAAAUGCCACAAAAAUCCAUAAAAUUGCAAAUGAAAAGAAAUUUAUUUUCUUGAAUUUAUGGGAGUAAUUCAUAUAGGGCAAAAAUCACGUGCUCACAGCUGCCCCUCUUUGCUCGGAAACACAAAGAGUUUUCGUGCAAAGUUAAAGUGAGCAGAUACGAGCGAUUUUUGCCCGUUUGAAUACUCCGAGGGAAGCAUUUUUGAAAUAUUUGACCGCACCCUACUUCCGAGGUUGCCUACAUAUUCUUGGCUAUAAAGGAAUCAGGUCAGUGUAGUUCGGGAAGUUCCGGUAGUUGGGACUACCAUGAAGCUGUGAUUUCACAGUUGCUGUUGCUGCUACUGCUUACUGAAACCUUUAUUACACCAUGAUAAAAUAAAAAGAAGCUAGACUAGACUAUGAUAUAUGCAUUACAAAAUCCUAUCUAUAUCUUCAAACUUGCUCUUGUGGUUCUUGUUGCCUUGUUGACUUGUAUUCUCCCGGUGGAAUCCCCUUGUUGCUGCAUUGAAUUGUAAUCUGAGAUGUUUUUCCUUUCUCCAUGUGGACGCCUGAUUGCUGAAACUAGAAUGUAUUCCCUUGUUCUCCAGUGGGCUCCUGAUUGUUGAAGCUUGAAUGUAUUCCCUUGUUCUCCAGGUGGGCUCCUGAUUGCUGAAAUUUGAAUGUAUUCCCUUCUUCUCCAGGUGGGCUCCUGAUUGCUGAACUUGAAAUGUAUUCCCUUGUUCUCCAGAUGGGCGCCUGAUUGCUGAAC
rnacentral:lncRNA from 1 species